rnacentral:rRNA from 2 species
CUCUGGUAUUGAUUGGUGCUUGCAUCAUGAUUUACAUUUGAGUGAGUGGCGAACUGGUGAGUAACACGUGGGAAACCUGCCCAGAAGCGGGGGAUAACACCUGGAAACAGAUGCUAAUACCGCAUAACAACUUGGACCGCAUGGUCCGAGUUUGAAAGAUGGCUUCGGCUAUCACUUUUGGAUGGUCCCGCGGCGUAUUAGCUAGAUGGUGGGGUAACGGCUCACCAUGGCAAUGAUACGUAGCCGACCUGAGAGGGUAAUCGGCCACAUUGGGACUGAGACACGGCCCAAACUCCUACGGGAGGCAGCAGUAGGGAAUCUUCCACAAUGGACGAAAGUCUGAUGGAGCAACGCCGCGUGAGUGAAGAAGGGUUUCGGCUCGUAAAACUCUGUUGUUAAAGAAGAACAUAUCUGAGAGUAACUGUUCAGGUAUUGACGGUAUUUAACCAGAAAGCCACGGCUAACUACGUGCCAGCAGCCGCGGUAAUACGUAGGUGGCAAGCGUUGUCCGGAUUUAUUGGGCGUAAAGCGAGCGCAGGCGGUUUUUUAAGUCUGAUGUGAAAGCCUUCGGCUCAACCGAAGAAGUGCAUCGGAAACUGGGAAACUUGAGUGCAGAAGAGGACAGUGGAACUCCAUGUGUAGCGGUGAAAUGCGUAGAUAUAUGGAAGAACACCAGUGGCGAAGGCGGCUGUCUGGUCUGUAACUGACGCUGAGGCUCGAAAGUAUGGGUAGCAAACAGGAUUAGAUACCCUGGUAGUCCAUACCGUAAACGAUGAAUGCUAAGUGUUGGAGGGUUUCCGCCCUUCAGUGCUGCAGCUAACGCAUUAAGCAUUCCGCCUGGGGAGUACGGCCGCAAGGCUGAAACUCAAAGGAAUUGACGGGGGCCCGCACAAGCGGUGGAGCAUGUGGUUUAAUUCGAAGCUACGCGAAGAACCUUACCAGGUCUUGACAUACUAUGCAAAUCUAA